rnacentral:rRNA from 1 species
GAUGAACGCUGACAGAAUGCUUAACACAUGCAAGUCAACUUGAAUUUGGGUUUUUAACUUAGGUUUGGGUGGCGGACGGGUGAGUAACGCGUAAAGAACUUGCCUCACAGCUAGGGACAACAUUUGGAAACGAAUGCUAAUACCUAAUAUUAUGAUAAUAGGGCAUCCUAUAAUUAUGAAAGCUAUAAGCGCUGUGAGAGAGCUUUGCGUCCCAUUAGCUAGUUGGAGAGGUAACGGCUCACCAAGGCGAUGAUGGGUAGCCGGCCUGAGAGGGUGAUCGGCCACAAGGGGACUGAGACACGGUCCUUACUCCUACGGGAGGCAGCAGUGGGGAAUAUUGGACAAUGGACCAAGAGUCUGAUCCAGCAAUUCUGUGUGCACGAUGAAGUUUUUCGGAAUGUAAAGUGCUUUCAGUUGGGAAGAAAGAAAUGACGGUACCAACAGAAGAAGUGACGGCUAAAUACGUG